GAUGAACGCUGGCGGCGUGCCUAACACAUGCAAGUCGAGCGGGAUUCAUGAGGACGAAACUUCGGUCUAGAAAUCAUGAUGAGAGCGGCGGACGGGUGAGUAACGCGUAGGCGACCUGCCCUUAGCACAGGGAUAGCCUCGGGAAACCGGGAUUAAAACCUGAUAAUGCCAAACAGUCACAUGGCUGUUUGGCCAAAGAUUUAUCGGCUAAGGAUGGGCCUGCGUCUGUUUAGUUAGUUGGUGGGGUAACGGCCUACCAAGACGACGAUCAGUAGCCGACCUGAGAGGGUGAUCGGCCACAUUGGAACUGAGACACGGUCCAAACUCCUACGGGAGGCAGCAGUGGGGGAUAUUGCACAAUGGGCGAAAGCCUGAUGCAGCAACGCCGCGUGAGCGAUGAAGGCCUUUGGGUCGUAAAGCUCUGUCCUAGGGGACGAACAAAAUGACGGUACCCUUGGAGGAAGCCCCGGCUAACUACGUGCCAGCAGCCGCGGUAAUAC
rnacentral:rRNA from 1 species